UGGCUCAGGUGGUAGAGCAUGGUGUUUGCAACACCAGGGUUGUGGGUUCGAUUCCCAC
rfam:Salmo salar isolate Sally breed double haploid chromosome ssa03, whole genome shotgun sequence.